UUAAGAAUUGGUACGGGAUUUAAAGUUCUCGUUUGGCCGAAGCUUAAAGGCAGCAAAGUUUUUCCUUUUGGUUACUUGUGUUCUUUCCACUGACAAACGCACGAAACGAAUAGUUUAGGAAGCAGAGAAAAAUAUUUGGCAAAUGCACUCCCAACAUGACAAAGCAAACUAUGAUACCACUUCAAGAGCACUGAAAACGCAAGCAAUCUAGUAGGCGUUGCAAUCUUACCAACUAAUGAAGCAGUGGCAUCCAACAGUCCGAAGCCAACUUUUCUGGAAGUAUGGAAUCCUUAAUGCAUCCAGUUGGAUAUAUGGUGUUCAAUCCAUAUCCCUGCAUUCCUAGCUGCUCGCAACUUACUUCAUCUAUUAAAAGGUACUACUCCUCAUUGCUAAAAAGUGCACACUUAAAAUACGUUAAAACCAGAACUUAGAUGCAAUAAUGCAAAAGUUAUUAUUUUAGCAAGAAGCGAAACAUCAAAUAUUAUGAUUACGAAUAGCAUUUAGACCCACCAACGUUAAUAAAUUCCAUGGGCAAAAGAUUAUUUAUGCGUAUACUACAGCGAAUAUAAUCUUGUCUUUGAAAUGCUGCAUCUAAAGUAUGAAAGAUCAAGAUGUCUAUUUAUGCUUAUUAAAGAUCUGACAUUUGAAGCCUGAUCAACGUAAAGAGCCCCUGAUACCUUUUUUUCCAUAUAAAACUCAUAACUUAUUUGCAUGUCAAAGAGAAGGCCUUUCUCAUGCCUUCUGUAACUUUUUUGAAUAUCAUCCUCUUUUUAUCUCUUCAAUUUUCAAUUUUUUUUUGUAAACUAUAUCCUCCUACACCAUCAAACUUCUCAUGUGCAAAUUUCAUAUUCACAGUUCCAAGCAAACCUCAAAUGACUAUGCAUAAUAAUGAUUUAGCACACCUAAGAAAGAUACAAACUACAGAAAUGAACUCGACAUUCUAGUUAAAAUUAAAAAAAAAAAAAAGAAUUGCACAAAAGGAAAAAAAGAAAGAAUAUAACCUAAUGUCGAACCAAUUUACUGCAUCAAACUAAACAAUUUUCUUGAUUUCCUCCUCCUUAGUCCUAGAUCGUUCCUACUACUACCAAAAUAAACUCAAAACAUAUUACAGGAAAUUAAUCAACUAUUGAUAUGAUUGACAUCCAUAUUUUAUAAUUAAAUACUCACCCGGGCAUAUCCUGUCAAAUAUUAGACAGAGAAAUUAAGAUUGAAUCUUCCACAACACCGUCUUUUCGAACCCAAUUGAAAUAAGUUGUUGACUUUUACAUGCAUUGACUAAUUUCUAUCAAAGAGCCAAAGACAAAAUAGAAAGUUGAAGCUCAGAACAAACAUAAGAAGUGAAAAACAGAAAGAUAGCCAAAGGUAACAUAUAAAGCAAAGGAAGUAGAAAAGCACCAAAUUUUGGAAAACACUCUAUUAGAAUUUGGAGAUUUAGCAACGUACUCAAUCUGAAAUCACCACAAUAAGCCUUUAAAAUUUGAUAACCAAAUCAUCUGCAUUAUCCUGCGGUAAAUGAUUCGCCAUAUGCGGUUUAAAUCUCGGACGAAUGAAAAAUGUGAAUCAAUUCUUCUUCGUGGUAAUUUAUUUACAAUUGAGGAACAGACUGAAGCAACGCUAUAUAGAAUGGCGAAGCCCGGAAAGGCAUGAGAGAUCGACUUGAAUAGCAAAGGCGUUACCAGCAAUGUCAGUUACAAAAACAAAAGAAAAAAGAUAAGAGAAGUAAAGGAUGCGACUUUUCCAGGUAAAAUAAAAGGAUUCGACUUUUGAGUUUUUUGUUUUAUCAUAAUAGAGAACAUAAAUGAGAAAAAAUAGGAAAAAAGUAAAUACCAAUCCU